UGAGACCUCUUGAUGGCCGCGGCCGUGAUCUUCAUUGGGAUCGGCUGAGGAACUUCCGGGCUCCAUAGAGCACGAUGGCGGAUAACGUCCGCCCAGGGUGACCUGAGAGAUAGCGCAACAGAGAACAGACCGCCCGUCCUCGACGGGUAAGGGUGAAACGGCGGUGUAAGAGACCACCGGGCCUCUGGUAACAGUAGGUCGCAUGGCAAGCCUCAUCGGGAGCAAGGCCAAGCAGAUGGCGGUAAGGGCUGCUCGCCCGUGUCAUCGGGUAGGCUGCUAGAGCCUGGCGGCAACGUCAGGUCGAGAUGGAUGGCCAUCCGUGCCGGGCGGUCGCGCACGGCACGACAGAACCCGGGGUAUAAGAGGUCUCAUUUU
rnacentral:RNase_P_RNA from 1 species